rnacentral:tRNA from 1 species
GGAUUGUGGCUCAGCGGUAGAGCCCUCGCCUAGCAAGGGUGGGACCCGGGUUCGAUCCUCAGCACCA